GACAGUUUGGCCGUGUGGUUUAAGGCGCCAAAUUUAGGCUCUGGUCCGGAAGGGCGUGGGUUCAAAUCCCACAGCUGUCA
rfam:Macleaya cordata isolate BLH2017 scaffold6307, whole genome shotgun sequence.